UUGCUUCAGUACCACAUAUGUUAAAUUAAAAUGACACAGACAAGAUCAACAUGGCCCCUGUGCAAGGAUGACUUUCAAUUUCAUGAAGUGUUCCAUAUUUUU